CCAGGGCACUCCUGGCACCAUAACCACUACAUAGUUGUGUAGUGGUUAUGGUGCUUGGAGUGUUAUUU